rnacentral:ncRNA from 1 species
UUGAGCCGUAUGAGGCGAAAGUCUCACGUACGGUUCUUAGGGGAGGGGGUGGCCGCGAGGCCGCCUCCUCACCCGAC